UGCGGGAUCAUCUAGUGGUAGGAUGCAACACUCUGGAUGUUGUCACCGGGGUUCGAAUCCCUGUCCCGCAGCAA
rnacentral:tRNA from 2 species